rnacentral:rRNA from 1 species
GAUGAACGCUGGCGGCGUGCUUAACACAUGCAAGUCGAACGAAGCACUUUAUUUGAUUUCCUUCGGGACUGAUUAUUUUGUGACUGAGUGGCGGACGGGUGAGUAACGCGUGGGUAACCUGCCUUGUACAGGGGGAUAACAGUUGGAAACGGCUGCUAAUACCGCAUAAGCGCACGGCAUCGCAUGAUGCAGUGUGAAAAACUCCGGUGGUAUAAGAUGGACCCGCGUUGGAUUAGCUAGUUGGUGAGGUAACGGCCCACCAAGGCGACGAUCCAUAGCCGACCUGAGAGGGUGACCGGCCACAUUGGGACUGAGACACGGCCCAAACUCCUACGGGAGGCAGCAGUGGGGAAUAUUGCACAAUGGGCGAAAGCCUGAUGCAGCGACGCCGCGGGAGCGAAGAAGUAUUUCGGUAUGUAAAGCUCUAUCAGCAGGGAAGAUAAUGACGGUACCUGACUAAGAAACACCGGCUAAAUACGU